rnacentral:tRNA from 1 species
GGUGGAUUGGCGUAAUGGCAACGCGUUAGUUUCCGGAGCUAAAGAUUGCGAGUUCGAGUCUCGCAUCCAUCG